AACCAAGAAAUUUAGUCAUUUAUUUUAUGGUAAAAAGACAGUUAGGCAAUAAUGAAAAAUCAUUAGAUCUUUAGUGUAGGAGUAAAAUCUAGAUACUAAAAGUAAUACCAGAGAUGAUUUAUUAGUGAUGCUGAAUCUGUGAUAGCUUUAAGGGAAACUGGGAUUGGAUACCCCAUUAUUUUUAGUUGUAAAUUUAGUUUAAGCUUACCAGAGUACUACGAAUUAAAAGUUUAAAACUCAAAGGGCUUGGCGGUGUUUUAGACCUUUUAGGGGAACCUGUCUCAUAAUCGACAAUCCACGUUAAACCUAACCCUUUAUAGUAAUACAGCCUGUAUACCGUCGUCGUCAGGUAACUUUUUAAAACAUAAUAGUUAGCUUGAGAAUCUAAUUAAUUAAAACGUCAGAUCAAGGUGCAGCUAAUGAGAGGGUGAGGAUGGGUUACAAUUAUACAUUUAUAAUUACAGAAAACAUUUGAAAUGAAAUGUCUUAAAGGAGGACUUAAAAGUAAUUUUGAUUAUAUAGACAAAAUGGAUUUGGCUCUGAAACGUGC
rnacentral:rRNA from 1 species